rnacentral:rRNA from 1 species
UACCAGCACCCCGAGUGGUCGGGACGUUUAUUGGGCCUAAAGCAUCCGUAGCCGGUUCUACAAGUCUUCCGUUAGAUCCAGCUGCUUAACAGAUGGGCUGCGGAAGAUACUAUGGAGCUAGGAGGCGGGAGAGGCAAGCGGUACUCGAUGGGUAGGGGUAAAAUCCGUUGAUCCAUUGAAGACCACCAGUGGCGAAGGCGGCUUGCCAGAACGCGCUCGACGGUGAGGGAUGAAAGCUGGGGGAGCAAACCGG